rnacentral:rRNA from 1 species
UACGUAGGGUGCGAGCGUUAAUCGGAAUUACUGGGCGUAAAGAGUGCGUAGGCGGUUCUUGAAGUCCGCUGUGAAAGCCCCGGGCUUAACCUGGGAAUGGCAUUGGAAACUGGCGGGCUGGAGUGUGGCAGAGGGGGGUGGAAUUCCACGUGUAGCAGUGAAAUGCGUAGAGAUGUGGAGGAACACCGAUGGCGAAGGCAGCCCCCUGGGCCAACACUGACGCUCAGGCACGAAAGCGUGGGGAGCAAACAGG